CUAUUCAUCAAGUCUGGCAAGUCUGCUCACCAGGUGGCCAGAUAUCACCCACAUGCCCCCAUCAUUGCUGUGACACGGAAUCCCCAGACAGCUCGUUAGGCCCACCUGUACCGUGGCAUCUUCCCUGUGCUGUGCAAGGACCCAGUCCAAGAGGCCUGGGCUGAGGACGUGGACCUCCGGGUGAACUUGGCCAUGAAUGUUGGCAAGGCCCAAGCCUUCUUCAAGAAGGGAGAUGUGGUCAUUGUGCUGACCGGGUGGCACCCUGGCUCCGGCUUCACCAACACCAUGUGUGUUGUUCCUGUGCCG
rnacentral:lncRNA from 1 species